GGAAUCUUAGACAAUGGGGGAAACCCUGAUCUAGCCAUGCCGCGUGAGCGAUGAAGGCCUUAGGGUUGUAAAGCUCUUUCGCUGGGGAAGAUAAUGACGGUACCCAGUAAAGAAGCCCCGGCUAACUCCGUGCCAGCAGCCGCGGUAAUACGGGGGGGGCAAGCGUUGUUCGGAUUUACUGGGCGUAAAGGGCGCGUAGGCGGUUUGCUAAGUCGGAUGUGAAAACUGGGGGCUCAACCCUCAGCCUGCAUCCGAUACUGGCAGACUAGAGUGCGAGAGGGGAAGGCGGAAUUCCUGGUGUAGCGGUGAAAUGCGUAGAUAUCAGGAGGAACACCGGUGGCGAAGGCGGCCUUCUGGAUCGCAACUGACGCUGAGGCGCGAAAGCUAGGGGAGCA
rnacentral:rRNA from 1 species